AGGUUAAGUUACAAAGGGCGCACGGUGGAUGCCUUGGCACUAGGAGCCGAUGAAGGACGGAACUAAUACCGAUAUGCUUCGGGGAGCUAUAAGUAAGCUUUGAUCCGGAGAUUUCCGAAUGGGGGAACCCAGUACACAUCAGUGUAUUGCCUGCAAGUGAAUACAUAGCUUGUUGGCGGCAGACGCGGGGAACUGAAACAUCUCAGUACCUGCAGGAAGAGAAAGAAAACUCGAUUCCCAUAGUAGCGGCGAGCGAAGUGGGAAGAGCCCAAACCGAGAAGCUUGCUUCUCGGGGUUGUAGGACUGGACAUUGGAGUUACCAAAGUUCGACGUAGUCG
rnacentral:rRNA from 2 species